AACGAACGCUGGCGGCAUGCCUAACACAUGCAAGUCGAACGAUGCUUUCGGGCAUAGUGGCGCACGGGUGCGUCACGCGUGGGAAUCUUCCCUUGGGUUCGGAAUAACAGUGAGAAAUUGCUGCUAAUACCGGAUGAUGUCUUCGGACCAAAGAUUUAUCGCCCAGGGAUGAGCCCGCGUAGGAUUAGCUAGUUGGUGGGGUAAUGGCCUACCAGGGCGACGAUCCUUAGCUGGUCUGAGAGGAUGAUCAGCCACACUGGGAGUGAGACGCGGCCCAGACUCCUACGGGAGGCAGCAGUGGGGAAUAUUGGAAAAUGGGCGCAAGGCUGAAGCAGCAAGGCCGGGUGAGUGAUGAAGGCAGUAGGGUUGUAAAGCUCUAUUAACCGGGAUGAUAAUGACGGUACCGGGAGAAUAAGCCACGGCUAACUACGUG
rnacentral:rRNA from 1 species